rnacentral:rRNA from 1 species
UACGUAGGGGGCAAGCGUUGUCCGGAUUCAUUGGGCGUAAAGAGCGUGUAGGCGGCCAGGUAGGUCGGUUGUGAAAACUGGAGGCUCAACCUUCAGAGGUCGACCGAAACCAUCUGGCUAGAGUCCGGGAGAGGAGAGUGGAAUUCCUGGUGUAGCGGUGAAAUGCGCAGAUAUCAGGAAGAACACCCGUGGCGAAAGCGGCUCUCUGGGCAUGUCCUGACGCUGAGGAGCGAAAGUGUGGGGAGCGAACAGG